rnacentral:rRNA from 1 species
AGCAGUAGCCGCGGGAAUACGUAGGUGGCAAGCGUUGUCCGGAAUUAUUGGGCGUAAAGGGCUCGCAGGCGGUUUCUUAAGUCUGAUGUGAAAGCCCCCGGCUCAACCGGGGAGGGUCAUUGGAAACUGGGAAACUUGAGUGCAGAAGAGGAGAGUGGAAUUCCACGUGUAGCGGUGAAAUGCGUAGAGAUGUGGAGGAACACCAGUGGCGAAGGCGACUCUCUGGUCUGUAACUGACGCUGAGGAGCGAAAGCGUGGGGAGCGAACAGGAUUAGAUACCCCCGUAGUCCCUGUCUCUUAUAU